GUUGUUCCUCUAAAUUUUAAAUGAGUUGGGGAAUGUGUAAUUUUCUUGUUUGUAUUUAUACUGUUGUUCAGUUAAACCUUCUUUUGUCAGUCAGGGUCCACUGAAUGUGUAUUUUCCCUCAAAGUCAUAAUUCUUACGUCUCUUGUGACUUUUAUAGUUAUUUUGUAUGGCUUCAGAGUGACAGAUUUAAGUCUUUUUAUAGUUAUUGAAGUUGAAAUAUAUCUUGAUUCUAGUCUCUCAUUUUUUAGUGUAAUCUGAAAUAGAAAUAAAACCUUGCAUCUAGGAGAACUCUCUUGUGAAUUUUCCUACUAUUUCAAAUAUAGAAUUUGAUAAACCUUUUCUAAUCCUCUGCUACAGACAGAUCUUGGGGGAGAUUUUUCCUUUCUAUAGCUGCAUUUUAUCUUUUAACGUGAGCAUUCUAGCUUAAGUCAUUUGAAUUUUUGACUACGUUCCUAUCAGUAGUUGCAGAUAGAGAAAAGAAUUGAUUACUGUUGAUGCCUUCGUAUACUAGUUUUGAUCUCCACUUUCUAUGCUUCUGGAAAAGAGACAAAUUCUUCAGUAAACAGUUUUGAGGAGUAAACUAUACUCGUUACUGUGUUGUAGAAAAAGAGGAUGAAUUCUUAAAUCUAGUUUUUUGUUCUUGUUUUCUGUUUUUUUUUCUCUUGUGUUUAUGUUUGAGGGUGAAUCUUCCUGUGAAUGUUCUGCUCAAAUUUGUUGCCAUGUGACAGGUUGCAGCAUAGGGACAGUCUGACAAAAUGGCAUCUGACAUGGAAAAGCACAUGAAGCAGUGUGUCAUUGACUUCACUCAUGUGGAAAAAAUUGUAUCUGUGGACAUUCAUCAAGCCUUGCUGAAGGUUUCUGGAGGCAAAACAGUGGAUGUAAGCAGAGUGGUGGUGGUUGAUGUGUUUCAGCAGCGGUGAAAGCAACAUGAAAGACAAGCCACGUUCUAGAUGGCUAUGCAUAUCUGUCACAACAGAAAACAUAGUCAGCUCAUCAGCAUUGCUAUGUGAAUUGAAAGCUUUAAGUAAUAGCAAAAUAGAUCUUGUUUUGUACUGUCUAUUUUGUCUUUUAUGGUAGUACUGUAGGGCUUCUAAUUUACAGGUAACUUUAAUCUGCAGAAUGAUUUCUUGAGGAAAAUUCAUUCACUGAUUAUUUAUCAAGCUUCACGCUUUCCAGAAAAAAUGCAGUAGCCACAGAAUGAAACAGAAGAGGAUCCUUCUGAAGUUCUCCCAGGCUGGCAUGAAAAACCCGAUGUGCCGCACACUACUUGGCUUCACCUUCAGAUUUUGACUGCUGUGAAAAAUGAGAGGUUUCUUCCCAUGAUCAGUAGUCUGUGGAGAAAGUAUGUCUAUAAUCAAGGCCAUGUUCCCACUCUGGGGAUAAGUAACUUAAUAAAACAAAUAAAGAAACUAUUUGGUUAGAUUUGACUCUUAGAGUUCAUGUUUAUCCAUGGAAUUCACUCUUGUAAAGUGGGAAGGAAAUCAAAGUUGUUUUAAAGGUAUUUAGGAAUUUCUCUCUACAUCCAGUGUUCUUCUUGGCACAGAGAGGGCAAAGACACAUCACUAUUACUUGACUGCACUAAUGCAGACUUCAAGACCUGGAUGAGAGGACUUCUUGCUCAAAUUGCUAUAAUGAAUAUACUUUUCAAAUAAAAAGUGAAGACCAAAUUAUUCAUAAGAUCUAAACAAAUACUUAAGGGUGACCUCUCUCUUUGUGGAUUCCAAAUCACUUCAUUAUAAUCAAGUCCUAUGUAGGUAACACUGCUGGGAAAGUUGUUGUGGGUCUCCUAUAGUAACAAUAAAAACGAGUAAUAGCAAUCACUAAAGAAAAUAGAUUGGUUAGCUUGUUAUGUAACCAAGGCACUGAUGUUGGAUAAUUCUUUCUACUUUACCAUACUACAUCUACUAAGCUUAACUGCUUAGGCUUAUAUUUUACUGUAUAUAAUACAUUAUUUUAUACCAUACUAUAUAAAAUAUAGAUAUCUAUUAUAUAAAAUACUUUACUAUAAUAAACAGACUCUAAAAGCAUUUGCAUCCUAUGAGAAAAAAAGUUCCAGAAAAAUCCACAUGAUGAAAAGACAGGGCAUGAACAGCUUAGCAAAACUCCAUCUUUUGGCUUUAAGCUCAUUUGAUCAAACUUAUUUCAGUAACAAAUUCUUCAUUAUAAUAAUAGACUUCCACUGAUUGACUAUGAAGUGAGGAUAUGACCCUUCAUGGAUCAAGAAAUCAAAAAUUUCCAAAACAGAAAUUAUGUUAACAUCUUCAAUUUCUGUUCUGCUGACUUUCAAACAUCCAAGCCAAACCAGCACGAGUAGAUUUUUUUUAUUUAGAAUUGGUAUUGGGAGCACAAUAAUAAUAAUAAUAAUAGUAAUAAUAUUGCAUAUAUGAUAAUAGUAUCAUUUAAAGUGUGGUGUCUUUAUAAAUUGUUCAGACUGGGCUUUAGUACAUUAUUACUGUCUUCCCCUUUUCCAACCUGUAUGAGCUUUUUGCUCUUGGGAAACCAGGUCUAGCAGGUAGCCAGAGGAAGAUCCAAGGAUUUUCCUUGCUGCAAAACUGAAGUUCAUUCAUAACAAAGGUAAGAUAUGUGCCUGCAGUGAGGUUUUCAUGUUGUCUCAGUUGUAUCCAGCCACUAAAAACGUUCAGUGAAAACUACUGAAAACUACUGUUUUGACACUGUAUUAUAUUAAGGAGCCACAUGCUACAUUAUUAUGCCACACAUAAUUUAAAAAAAUAAAAAGAAAAAGAAAAAAAAGAAAAUGACUUGGAAGAGCACUGUCUCCUGGGGUCGAAAGCUGUGGUAAGCAAGAAUAACGCUAAUGUUACCAAAGCAGUUUAUCCAGAAACCAUAGCCAUUAUCUGAAUUCUCGACUUCCCUCACACACAGAGUUAUUGUUCUCUUUUGUUAAGCAUGAAUCAGAUUUUGUUUUUAACCAGAAAUCUCAAAGAAGUAUUAAAUGAAACUUUGUUAAAAAAAAUCUCAUAAAGUAUUAUUCAGAAGUUAUGUAGAAGAGCUUUACUAUACUCCAUUAGGCAGAGAAAUUGUUGAAAGGAUAUAGUUCAUAUUCAUUUUCCAGCAGUUUCUAUUUUUGUUUCAAGAGUUUUGCUAUUGUCUUCAAUAGGAGGAAAACCAGCCUCUGGUGAAGUGAUGUGUAAAACUGUGGGUACCACACUCCCGAAUCACUAGAAAUGCAUUUUAUAUUAAACUAAAUCUGAAGCAUGGCAUUUCUUAUCACAUAGGAAAUAAAAUACAUAUUAAAAAGGGUAGAAGCAUGGUUUUGGUACUGAGUAGUUUCCAGAUUUUGGGUGGCUUGCUUCUCCACAAUGUGGUGUUAGGAUGAUGCUUGUUGAGCACAGAGGAAAGAAGAUGAAGAGCUAGGUACUGAAACACUUGUGUCACCUCUGUUAGCCCCCCUUGAAGGUGAAGAAAGAGCAUAGCUUUCCCCAGCUCAGGUGAAAACACCAGUAGUGGGGAGGGUGAGUUCAGUGUCCUUUCUUGCAUGUUUUGCUCAGGAUUGUAUGGAAAGGGAAAGAGGAGGAAAGGAUAAAAUUUAAUGAAACAUAGAAUGCUUUAUCUUCCCUUUUGAAGGAUUGGAAACAUGGUCUUCGUAAAGUCUGGAAAUUACUGGAAGCGCUAAGAUCAAUGGGCAAACCUGGCAACUUUGGGGAGCGCUGUGUCUAAGAAAUGCAUGUUCUGCUGAAAUGUGUUAAAGCGUGUCUACCAUAUACUUCAGUAGUGCAUAAAGUACUUGUUUCUUUUUUAUAAUCAGCUAAGUGCUUUAUCCAAACCCUCAGUCUAUUACCUUAUAAGUUUUUUGGCAAAUAUUUAUGUAUAUGCCAAAUAUUUGGCAAAGAUUUUUAAGGAAGAAAAAAAUACAGUAUUUUUCAUUAAUUUCCAUUUUCCCACAGGUCUGAUAUUACCUACUCUUCUUGAUGUUCACAAUAAGUAUACUUCUAUCUCCAGCCUGAGGAGAAGAAUGACUUUAGGGCCUGUAUUUACCAGAAUUCUUUAUGUGUUUACUUCAUUGUUAUUACUCCUGUACAGAGAAAGGGUGCACAAAAAAAAAAAAAAAAAAAAAAAAAAAUGCUGUACACAGGCAAAGCAACUCCUGUAGCGUGCUCCUAGAAGUGAGCCUUUGGGAUUGAGACCACACUAGAGGAGAUAUUCAAAAUGAACAGAGGUGCUUUCUCCUCUUGUCUGACUUUGGGCAGAAAUAAGACAGAACAAAGAUCAGUUUUUAAGAAAAUUGAAGAAACUAACAACUUGAAUUUAGAAAGAAAGUGAUCAUCUGUGAACACAUCUAAGGGAGAAGAUAGUAGUGUGUACAGACACAGAAGACAAGAACUGGGAGAGUACGUUACCCAGGUUUUUGCUGCAUAGCAGGUGUCUUAAAGAGAGGAAGCUUAUAAGACUUUGUUAUUGAGUAUUUAAUUUCAAAGUUUCUUGCAUUUCAUCUCCUAUCUAAUAUCAGAUCUGCAAAUCUAUAUAACAAUUAUUGGUACUCUGGUUUCCAAAAUGGCGCAACUCUGACUGCUUUCUUUUCCUUGGAAAUUUCAUUUAUAGUUUCUCCUUUCUUUUGUUCUGUACAUACAACUAGGAAAAAAAAAAAAAUGAGACGUUCAGUGUUGACUAAAGAAUAAACAAAACUGAAGAGAUGGAUUUCAGAAGUCUCAGCUUGAAAUCAAUGGGAAAUUGUGAGGUUCUUGAUAACAUAUGGGUGUUCUUUAUUCUCAUUUAAUGGAAAUCUGUGAAAGAAAAGCCUUGGAACAAGUAGUUGACAGUGCUUCAUUUUCAUAUAAAUUAUUGCUAUUGUCAAUGGCUCAAGCAGUGAUCAAGACAGAAUGUUGAAACUGGGAAGAAGACCAAAAGAGCUAGUAACACUUUUUUAUGUGGGAAUUGAGAUAAAUAAUAAGUAUAAUAGGAAGUAGGUUAUAAUACAGAGAUAAAAGGGCAAAAAAAAAUGCUGAUAGUAUUGUUUAAAUAAAUCAGUGAUGUCACUAUGGUAGUUACAGUAUGAUUCUUCGUCCUGAUACCUACUAAUAACUCCUUGCAACAUGUUGCCCAAUGUUCUGUCUUUAAAUGGUAUCAUAAGCAGCAUGUGUAUAAAUUCUGUACCCAAUGAGAACCAUUUAUUUUACUAAGUUAAAAUGAAAGAUUAGAUUGUUGUAGCAAGAAGAAGAAUUGAGUUAGAGCACUCCUUUUUGUUCAAAUGAGAGAAACUGCCUAAUAGCACCCUUGAACUAUUAGUCUGCAAAGGUUUUCUUUGAAGCUGUACAGAGAAAGAAAAAGCACUCAUUCUUGAUCUCUCUAAAGUUUUACAUGCUUUUCACAUAUAAAGGCUCAUUGUCAUUAGGACAGUAACCUUGUCUUAUUUCAAAUGUGUUAUUACAGACAGCUGUGAUUUAACAGGUCAGCUGUUACGCAGAUGAAAGCUACGUAGAUGAAAGCUAAGUGGCAUUGGUAGGGUUGAAGGUUUAAAGCCUUCGAAGUCCUAAAAAGCAGUUACAGUAGUCAAAUAAAACAUGCUUAGUGAGACCUGCCUCUUUUUUCCAUAUAUCUUGAGAAAAUGUUGGACUACUAUACAAGUAGUGCUGCAACAUGAAAGUACAAAAAAACAUGUAAGAAAUUCUACUUUUCUACUCACAUAUUUAUGAUAGGCCAUAGGUGGUAUUCCUUAGCAUUAACUGAUAAGGUUUUUGUUUUUUUUGUCUGUUGCCAGCAAUUAGAGAUGCCUAUCAUUUUGUUUUAAGUGUAUGACCAAACUAGCCUUCAAAAAUAAACUAUAUCGUUUAGUAUGUAAUCAGCUGGGGGAUGGGAAGAGCCCAUUAAAGUAAAUGGACAUCUUGAACUGAACAAUCUUGAACAAUGAAUUUGUAGGAUAUUUAGAAGCUUGUCAUGAAAUCACUUUCAUUACAGGAUUCAAUUUCUCUACAUUUUUGAAGUUUAAAGAUUUUGUGUUACUUGUCUUUUUUUUUUUUAAUUUGCAUUCUGAUUUGUUUUGUUUUGUUGUUUUGUUUUUCAAGGACACGUGUUUUUUAUGUUUUUAUAAAGAAAAGCAGAUUAAUUGUUUAAGUGCAGGCUAUCACACUUUAGUUUUCAGGACAAAUGUCCAAAAUUCAGAAAAAUUAAGUAAUUUGUACUCAGAGCAGGAAAGAAGCACUGCAUUUCCCUGGAUGACUUCUCUUUACCAUCUGAAAAUAGGCAUCUUUUCAGAUUAUACAUUGAUGUUUAAUUAACAAUAUAAUAUUAUUUUGAGUGAUGUUGUUUGAACCACUGAAUUGUCUCUUUCCUCUUCAUAGGAAAUUAUGAAUUGUUAUUCUGCACCAUCUCUGCGGCUGUUUCAUCAGAAUACGGACCAGUCUCCAAGCUGUUUGAAGAAGAAGAGCUGUGCCCUGGUUUUUGCCACUUAUGUCAUAAUAUACUUGCUACAACGGGCAAUUAAGCUUUACCUUAAAAAUACAUUCCUAAUCCAUAUAUUUAUAUGAACAGAAGAUUAAAAAUUUGUAAUCACAUAUUUCCACCACUCAUCUCACUAAAAGCAAGCCUUUUAACUAACCAGCAACUUCGCAAAUUUUUACUGUUUUCUUUUUCCAGGAGGUCUUGAAUUGAUACCUAUCCUCCUGGAAAAACUGAUGAGACGCUCCUUGGUGUCAAAAAAAGAAACAUACAAUGCACAGAGCUUGUACCACAGUGUGGAUGGAAAUUUGUGGGAAGACAUGACAUCACUGGGAACAGUCCUUUAACAUGGCAGUAAUUACCAGCAUCGGGGAUGAACUGUGAUUCUGCAAAGCACAGCAAAAUGCUCAACAGGAGACUAUCUGGACUAACCAUGGCAGAAGUUUCUCCAAAUGUAAGCAGAAUCCAGGUGGCAGCAGAGGGAGAGCCUGGCAAAAUGGUGCUGAAAAGUUCGAGUAAUCAUAGAAUCAUAGAAUAUCUUGGGUUGGAAGGGACUCCAAGAAUCCUCAAGUUCCAACCCCGUGCCACAGACUGGGCCACCAACCUCCAGAUCUGGUACUAGUCCAGGCUGUCCAGGGCUCCAUCCAUUGUGGUCUUGAACACCUCCAGGGACAGAGCAUCCACAGAUUCUUUGGGCAGCCAGUACAUCACCAAUGAUAAUGAUAGCGCAGUGUUUUUAGGAGAGCUUACGCUACUAAGAAUUUAUUUAAAACUUCUAAAUUCAUAAAUAAUUUAUGCUUUUUUUGUUUUUGUUUUCAUACUGUCUGAUUAUUCUUCACUUUAUUAAUUACCAAAAAUACUUAUGGCGUAUAAGAAGAGCGAAUGCUACAAUAUUGUCUAUUUGCAAAAUGGGGAUGUUUUAACAUUGACCAUCACUGUGACCUUUUUAUUAUAUUAAAAUUGCAAUUUCAUCUGCAAUCUUGCUUCUCUAAAUGCUCCAGAAGCUUCCACCUUUCUUGUGAAAGGCAGGUUUAUGUUCUAAUGAACUGCUCAAUUCAUGCAAAGGAACAGACUUAUUCUCUUUAAUUUUUACUGUUUUAAGACUAAAUUAGAGAGGUCUUAGAAUUAGUAUCAAUCAAUAUAAUAAAGCUGUAUGGAAAUAAAAGAUACUGCUUCACAGGAAACUAGUUCUUUCUACUUUUGUCUAGUAAUAUAAACUUACAUGCAAGUCAUGGCUAGAUGGAGGAAGAGGAGAGCAGUAUAAAGGCCUAAAGCUUGCCAUAAUACAUUUUGAAAUCAUCCUUCUAGCCUGCAUUUAUGUUAACAAGUCUCAGAUCCCUCCCAGAUGUUGAAACUAAUGUGACAUGGAGCUCCCUAACUGCUAAACCAAAAUGAUAAUGUACAAAUUGACAAUAAAUAGGUAUGGAACUUGAAUUACUAUUCAGGCUCCUGAAGUAAGGCCAGGAACUUCUUAAGAGAAUGAUGGUUAAAACAAGCCAGUUUUGUUCUAGAGAAUAUUUUACUAGUUUCAGUAUGUAUUUUAUAUAUAUAUUUUAUAUAUAUUCUAUAUAUAUGUUUUCCAGUGCCCAGGAAUAAUCCAAGUUGUAGAUGUGAUCUCUGAUUAUAAAGGGUGUAGUCUUCGCAUAGUGUUCAAGAGAGAUCAGCUUAAGGGGAUUAAUAUAUAAAAGUCUGUGAUUGUGCCAAACAUCAGACUCACGAAUCACUCUUCUGCUGUCCAUGAAGUCCCUAUUUAACAAUCUUUUAGCUGCACCGGAUACUUGGCCCUCACUCUCUUUCGUAUUUACUGUCUUAUUAGACUUACCCUAUUUCUUCAGCUCAUUUUUAGGGCGAUAUCACAAAAAGUGUUAUAGUGCCAAUAAAUGAAAUCUGAAUGACCAUGAAUAUAAAUGAAAAGGAUUCCUCUCAGUGUUAAAUUUAGCAGAUCACUGACUGGCCUGAUUAUUUUGUUCCAUUUAAGUUCAUUGUUCUAUAAUUCCAUAAAUAUCCCAUUUUCCUUUCCAGCGCUUUUCUCCCAGAUAUACUCUGAUCAUCUUACACUGCAAAUUCAUCUUACAAAUUUCUAAUACUUUGGCUUCUAAUCUUCCUCUAUAAUGAUAUAGAUGAUAAUGAUAUAAUGAUUCCAUUUCAGUUCCCAUUCUCUGUUCUUUUUCUUAAUAAUUUUGAGUUAAUGGUGUUAAGAGUUGAAUUGUCUAUUUCUUCCAGAAGAAAAUUAAUUAUUUUCCUGAAAAGCUGAAUGAUGCUUUUUCUCAAGAUAAUGCUUUUUGAUUUUUUGUAUUUAUUAAUUUCUCUAAACAAACAUUUAUUUAAAACUGUUGAGCACCCAUAAUACUGCUAGUGUUUUCCAAAGAAGUGUUUGGUAUUUUCUUUCUAUUUCUUCAUUAACAGAUCUGAUUCAACACUACUGAUGUUAAGUGGCAAUACUUCGGUAUAUUAUUUGAAAUAUCUUUCCUUAGAUUGCUUAAUAGUUGUUUUUUUUUAAUGGAAAAUAUACUAUCCUAAAAAUCUGUAGCCUGGUAACUCCCAAGUUUCUUGUCUUGUUUAACAGAAGUAAGCAAGCAUCAUGCUGAAAGAAUUACCAUUCUUUGUUCUUCCUAUCAGUCUCAGUCUUAAAUUUCUUUUAGUGUUACACAGCUGGGAGGCACACCAAAGGAGUCUGGUGAUAUAUUAUCUCAAAGCCAGGUUUUAGAUGAGCACUUCCUUCAAGUGUCUUCUCUCAGACUGCUUCAGAGAAAGCAAUUCAUUAAGAGAGCAAAUCUUUAAUUCAAACCUGUAUUCUAAGUUUGUCUCAACCUUUCAACAGCAAGUGAAAUUCCGUCUAAAAGUGAUCUUGAACAUGUAAUGGACAAUCAUGCAAAUCUAUUUUUAUUAGGAUGUCUCACCUGCUUCUGUUGUGAUGAAAACAGUAAUGAUUCCAAAAUCAUUACUACGUAUAUCAAUGGCAACUAUUAUAAAGUUUGAUUCAUAAGAAAAUGAUUCACAGUACUGAAAAUUAACACAGUCAAAUUUUGGAUACACAAUCCAGAAAGAUCUCACUCUGAAAAUAGUGACAAAUAGACAAAUAGUUUCUUAAUAUUUUUCAGCAUUGUUUAUUUGUCAAGCAUGUAGAUAAGUUUGGGAUAUACGUUCUUUGGCGGAAAGGGUCUGUACUUUAAAUAUGUAGCAAUUAUUGUUUUCUUCUGUUUUUAGUAAUAGAUAGAACUAUUAUUUUUUAACCCUGAAGGACUCGCUGAUGCCUCAGCAAUUCCUACCAAAAGGUUUAAAAUACUCUAAAAGCAUUAUAUUUACUUGAGGAGGCUGGGAAUAAUAGAAUCAGAAAUAAAUACUGUUGUAAAUACAUAUAGGUUUUUCUGGAGAAAUGAAAUGCAGCAUGUAGUAAGAAAGUAACUCUAUUUCCUGACAAUUAUAUCAACUUUCACUAAAAUAAGGGCAUAUUUUUGAAAGCAGCAAGCCACUUCAGAAACUGCUUCUUAUUUUGAUUUUUACUCCCAUUUGCUAGUACAAAUAAAUAGACAUCUCUGACAUGAAAACCACACACAGUUAUUUACAGUAAAGUGUAGUCAAAAUAUGUAGAAUGUUGUAGUGAGUUCCUUCAAAGCAUAUUCCUGUCUGCUUCUGCUUUCUUUCAUGUGUAACAUUUAUUUAUUUAUGUUUUGUUUUCUCCUUCUCAUAUUGAUUGUCUACUUCCAUUCUAAGUUUCAUCAUAAUUCAACACGUUUCUUACAUCAAGAUUACUGAUAUACUUACUAUCUUAUAAAGAAAGAGAAACUUCUUUUUGUGACUAGUGAAAAUUAGUGUUUGUGGACAUUGCUCACUGUUCUGUCAUGUUAAUCAAUACCACGUGAUUUUCUGGGCUAUAUAGAAAAUAAGUAAUAAAAUAAGUCAUAAUUUAGUGACCUUGUGCCACAUAAAAAAUGUUCCAUUUCCUUAUCUCCUAGAAAAAUUCCUCUAAGUUCCUUCUGUAUUAUGUUUAAGAUGAUACUAAUUCUGUUACAACUUAUUACCACUGAAAGAUGUAGUGAUCAGUGAAGUAGUCUACAUGUGUGCACGCUCUAAGUUGUUAUGAAUUUCAUCACAAUCACUGCCAUUCUGCAUGCUUACAAAAUUAGUUGUUCGAAAAUGUGAUUGCCAAACUUGGAGCUCUCCACAAUCUCCUCUCUAACUUCUGCUUCCCACUUUUAAAACUGUGAUAAUUCCAUAGUAACUGCUGAGUCUUCAUAGUCUGGACAGGGACGAAACGUACGUGUGAGAUUUGGCCAUGAUAUGAAAGAGCUGAAUGGAACUGGAAAUUAGUUGGGCCUGGAUCAGAUUAAACUUCUAAACUUAAACUCUAUUUAUACUUGCAAGGAGUCAGAGGAAAUAAAACACUGCAGAAGUCUCCUGUGGGAGCGGACCUGUGUGUUAGUGGUCCUCCUGGGAAUGAGAAUACUUGAGGAGGCAAAGGUUUCUCCUUGCCAGUUGUUUAGUUAAAGAGUAGUCUCUAAUGUAAUGCUUUAAUUCUUUUUCGUUAUGAUGGUUUCUGUUUAAUUUUCUCACAGAUAAACUAGGGAGUGAAUCAAACAAACAAGCAAAUGCUCAUUUGAUGAGUGGGCUCUUUACUGAACAGUUAAGAAAUUCCACAGUUGGAGUAGAAUUAGCUGAAAGGUGAAUGUAUUACCUGAAUAGUCUAUGUUUAUUACCACAAACACUCUAUUCUUAAUUUACACUGUGAAUAAACUACUUGUAUGCAAAAUGUAUACCUCAGGUAUAAAUGAACUUGUCAUUUAAAAAAAAAAAAAACAACAAAUAAAAGCAGAAGGACGCUCAGUGGAAAAAGGAAAAAGUAACAAUGGGCUGUGGGGUGGU